rnacentral:rRNA from 1 species
UGGGGAAUAUUGGACAAUGGGCGGAAGCCUGAUCCAGCCAUGCCGCGUGUGUGAAGAAGGCCUUUUGGUUGUAAAGCACUUUAAGCGAGGAGGAGGCUCUUCUAGUUAAUACCUAGGAUGAGUGGACGUUACUCGCAGAAUAAGCACCGGCUAACUCUGUGCCAGCAGCCGCGGUAAUACAGAGGGUGCAAGCGUUAAUCGGAAUUACUGGGCGUAAAGCGCGCGUAGGUGGUUCGUUAAGUUGAAUGUGAAAGCCCCGGGCUCAACCUGGGAACUGCAUCCAAAACUGGCGAGCUAGAGUAGGGCAGAGGGUGGUGGAAUUUCCUGUGUAGCGGUGAAAUGCGUAGAUAUAGGAAGGAACACCAGUGGCGAAGGCGACCACCUGGGCUCAUACUGACACUGAGGUGCGAAAGCGUGGGGAGCAAACAGG